UCACUUACCUGGCCGGGGUCAAUCUGUGAUCAUGAAGGCGGAUGGCCUGGGACGAGCUGCUUCCAUUGCACUCCGGUCGCGGUGAAUCCCAGUAACACCCUACGGGGUGUCUACACGGCACAAUUUGUGGCAGCCGGGGCUCGCGUUCGCGCGGCCCCUGC
rfam:Klebsormidium nitens DNA, contig: KFL_244.